rnacentral:rRNA from 1 species
GUAGGUGGCAAGCGUUGUCCGGAAUUAUUGGGCGUAAAGCGCGCGCAGGCGGGGUCCUUUAAGUCUGAUGUGAAAAGCCCACGGGCUCAACCGUGGAGGGUCAUUGGAAACUGGGGGACUUGAGUACAGAAGAGGAAAGCGGAAUUCCAAGUGUAGCGGUGAAAUGCGUAGAGAUUUGGAGGAACACCAGUGGCGAAGACGGCUUUCUGGUCUGUAACUGACGCUGAGGCGCGAAAGCGUGGGGAGCAAACAGGAUUAGAUACCCUGGUAGUCCACGCCGUAAACGAUGAGUGCUAAGUGUUAGGGGGUUUCCGCCCCUUAGUGCUGCAGCUAACGCAUUAAGCACUCCGCCUGGGGAGUACGGCCGCAAAGGCUG